rnacentral:rRNA from 1 species
UUUAGUCAGGCAACGAGCGAGACCCGUGCCCACUGUUACCAGCAUGUCCUCCGGGAUGAUGGGUACUCUGUGGGGACCGCCGGUGUUAAAUCGGAGGAAGGUGCGGGCCACGGUAGGUCAGUAUGCCCCGAAUUUCCCGGGCUACACGCGGGCUACAAUGAAUGGGACAAUGGGUCCCUCCCCUGAAAAGGGCUGGUAAUCUCACAAACCCAUCCUUAGUUCGGAUCGAGGGCUGUAACUCGCCCUCGUGAAGCUGGAAUCCGUAGUAAUCGCGUUUCAAUAUAGCGCGGUGAAUACGUCCCUGCUCCUUGCACA